CCUGCUCUGCUGGUGUGACCUCGCACUCACCAUGCAUAUGAGUCCCCCAUUCAAUACCAAAAUCCACAUGGGCAAAGCCACAUCCAGUUUUGUCCCAGUACUGGACAGGGGACAAAUCAGCCAUAAAGAGGACUGUUUGAUAGAAAACUGGACAAGUAGCCUCCCAGGAUGGGAAUGUUUUUCCUGAUAUGACAUGCAGAGCCAAUGUAAAGUCAUUGAAACCACUGGUACCAAGAAGUAAAUUUGCCUGUCAUAAAAUGACAUGAAAGUAGUCUACAGCUCUUCCAUAGCAACAGUCCCUCCAGUUACAAAAAUACUUUCUUUAAAUGAGUUGGAUGCUGUUCUCAAGCAAGUGCAAACAUGAAGAUCAAGCAAAGAAAAAGAGAACAUCCUGCUUUUAAGACCGUCCUAUGGGACCAAAGGUACUCAUCUACCUACUGUGUAAAUGGCUCCCCACCACUGUCAUACCUGAACACCUCAAAUGGAAGUGGAAUUAUCAUCACAACAGAUGACAAAGAAACCGGCCGUUUGGACCUUAAGGACCUGACAUGAGAAUUUGGUCAGCAAUGUUGCUGGGAACAUGUGAAAAGUGCUGUGAACUUCAAGAAAACCAGGAAGGAAGAGUGCAAGAAACUUAAAAUAGACAUCUAACUCCAGACCAUUACUGUGCACAACUCUGGUCACUAGAACAGAUUACUAUUUGCCUUUGGUUUUUA